AUACGGAGGGUGCAAGCGUUACUCGGAAUCACUGGGCGUAAAGCGCGCGCAGGCGGCUAUUUAAGUUGGAUGUGAAAGCCUAUGGCUCAACCAUAGAACUGCAUCCAAAACUAUUUAGCUAGAGUGUGGGAGAGGAAGAUGGAAUUAGUUGUGUAGGGGUAAAAUCCGUAGAGAUAACUAGGAAUACCAAAAGCGAAGGCAAUCUUCUGGAUCACUACUGACGCUGAGGCGCGAAAGCGUGGGGAGCAAACAGGAUUAGAAACCCUAGUAGUCC
rnacentral:rRNA from 1 species